rnacentral:lncRNA from 1 species
CCCGUCGUGCCGCCGCCGGCCGUCGCGGCCGCGCUGCAGCACCAGUGCAGCAAGGCGGCCGACGUGCCCCAGCUGUUCGACCUCUUCUGACACGUACCUGCUCGGCGCGUCUCCAAAGUCCAAAGCAAGGAAUUUUUUUUUGUUGCUGUUAAUUAAUUAAUCGAGGCACGAAUUGACCAGAGCUAGCUGGCUAGAAUCCGGUUGACUAAUUACUCUCCAUAUUAGAACUGCUGUACAACACUGUCAAUUAGUUAAUUAUUAACUAAUUAGUGAAAUAACAGCUCUCAAUGUCGGCAUGAUACCACCUGAUGAGUCAUCCUGAUCUGUUAACUUACAGUAUCGAGGAAUGCGUAAUUAGCUGUCACUAAACGCGUCUUACCGGCCAUGAAACUCAUCCAGCUUUGUGUGCCCUUGCAUUCUUUAUCUGCAGUAGAAGAGUAUUUUAACUUUGCAAUACGUUUAGAAAUAUUUAGAUAGUCAUCAUACGUAAUAAUACUACUGCUCCUCC